AAACGGCCGCGGUACCCUAACCGUGCAAAGGUAGCAUAAUCAUUUGCCUUUUAAUUGUAGGCUUGUAUGAAUGGUUUGACGAGAGCUAAGCUGUCUCUUUCUUAAUAUUUAAAAAUUAACUUUUAGGUGAAGAGGCCUAAAUAAAACUAAGGGACGAGAAGACCCUAUUGAGCUUUAGUGAAGCAAUAAGUUUUGAGUGUAAUUAAAUUUACGAACUGUUAUAUAUUUAUAGAGUUUUAUUUUGUUGUGAAUCUUUAGUUGGGGCGACUGAGGAACAAAAAAAGCUUCCUUUGUAUUAUAAGAUUUUGAUUUAUUUGAUAUGAUGUUAGCUAGCUAUUUGAUCCAGUAUUUAUUGAUUAAGGGAAAAAGUUACCAUAGGGAUAACAGCGUAAUCUUUCUGGAGAGAUCAUAUCGAAAGGAGGGUUUGCGACCUCG
rnacentral:rRNA from 1 species